GGAGCAUAGCUCAGUGGCAGAACAUCUGCUUUAGAUGCAGAAGGUCCUAGGUUAAUCCCUGGCAUCUCCA